CAGUCGAGCGGACCUUUGGAGCUUGCUCCAUUGGUUUAGCGGCGGACGGGUGAGUAACACGUGGGCAACCUGCCCUGCAGAUCGGGAUAACUCCGGGAAACCGGUGCUAAUACCGAAUAGUUUGCGGCCUCUCCUGAGGCUGCACGGAAAGACGGUUUCGGCUGUCACUGCAGGAUGGGCCCGCGGCGCAUUAGCUAGUUGGUGGGGUAACGGCCCACCAAGGCGACGAUGCGUAGCCGACCUGAGAGGGUGAUCGGCCACACUGGGACUGAGACACGGCCCAGACUCCUACGGGAGGCAGCAGUAGGGAAUCUUCCGCAAUGGACGAAAGUCUGACGGAGCAACGCCGCGUGAGUGACGAAGGUUUUCGGAUCGUAAAACUCUGUUGUGAGGGAAGAACAAGUACCAACUAACUACUGGUACCUUGACGGUACCUCACCAGAAAGCCACGGCUAACUACGUGCCAGCAGCCGCGGUAAUACGUAGGUGGCAAGCGUUGUCCGGAAUUAUUGGGCGUAAAGCGCGCGCAGGCGGUCCCUUAAGUCUGAUGUGAAAGCCCACGGCUCAACCGUGGAGGGUCAUUGGAAACUGGGGGACUUGAGUGCAGAAGAGGAAAGUGGAAUUCCAUGUGUAGCGGUGAAAUGCGUAGAGAUGUGGAGGAACACCAGUGGCGAAGGCGACUUUCUGGUCUGUAACUGACGCUGAGGCGCGAAAGCGUGGGGGAGCAAACAGGAUUAGAUACCCUGGUAGUCCACGCCGUAAACGAUGAGUGCUAAGUGUUAGGGGGUUUCCGCCCCUUA
rnacentral:rRNA from 1 species